GGUUAAUGAAUAAGCAAACAUAAAUAUUCAUAAAUUAUAUUUAUUUAAAAGCAGGUAUUCAAUUCGCUCAGUAAUAUUUUAAGCAACGUGUAAACAUCAAAGAUGAAUAAAAUUACUGCAGUUUUCCUAAUUUUGCAACUAGUUUUUGGGUUAUUGGCAGAAGACCCAUGUGCUGCCAUAAAAUGUAAAAGCCCUUUUGUUUGCAAAACAGGUACAAAUCCGUGCAUAGACAAAUGUGGAAUUAGAUCUUGCACCAAAGAAGCUCGUAUUGGAUGCUAUUGUCCGGAUGGGUAUUGUCGCAGCUGUGACGGAAUAUGUAUUAUUAGCAGAUAAAAAAAUCCUUAUCUCAAAAAGUACUUAAAUUAGUAUAUAUGAUUAAGGCUUUCCAAUUCAAUUAGUUAUUCUUAGGUAUUAAAUUCGGUCAAGGUGAAAUUGUUUAAAAAAAGUGCUAUACAACUGGUUCAUUUAUGUAUGUAAAAACAUGCAAAUGAAAGUAAAAUCGUUAUAAUUAAAAUACGUAUUUAAAAAGAGAAUAAAGUAGGUAAGAAAA